rnacentral:tRNA from 1 species
GCCUGGGUGGCUCAGUUGAUUGAGCAUCUGACUUUGGCUCAGGUCAUGAUCUCGCAGUUCGUGAGUUCGAGCCCCAUGUCGGGCU